AGUGGCGAACGGGUGAGUAACACGUAGGUAAUCUACCCUCAAGACGGGGACAACCCAGGGAAACUUGGGCUAAUACCGGAUGUGUGUAGUGGCUAUUUUUCUGAUUAUCAUUAUUUACGUAAGUGAGUUAUAAUAAGAAGGGAAAGUGGUUAUUACAUAAAAGGUGGCGUAACGUGCCGCUUGGGGAUGAGCCUGCGUCCUAUUAGUUAGUUGGUGAGGUAACGGCUUACCAAGGCGAUGAUAGGUAGGCGGCCUUAACGGGUGGUCGCCCACACUGGGAUUGAGAUACGGCCCAGACUCCUACGGGAGGCAGCAGUCGAGAAUAGUCUACAAUGGACGGAAGUCUGAUAGUGCGACGCCGCGUGAACGAAGAAUCCCUUCGGGGUGUAAAGUUCUUUUAUACGUGAGCAGUGUCCUUUAUAUUAAUAGUAUAAGGGGAGAGAUAUUAGCGUAUGAAUAAGCAACGGCUAACUCCGUGCCAGCAGCCGCGGUAACACGGGGGUUGCGAGCGUUGUCCGGAAUUACUAGGCGUAAAGUGCAGGUAGGCGGAUAAAUAAGUUUAAAGUUAAAGGCUACGGCUUACCCGUAGUAAGGCGUUAGAUACUGUUUAUCUGGAAUGCGGUUGAGGGAGACAGAAUUCCUGGUGUAGCGGUGGAAUGCGCAGAGAUCAGGAGGAAUACCGAAGGCGAAGGCAGUCUUCUAAGCCGAUAUUGACGCUAACUGCGAAGGUGUGGGGAUCAAACAGGAUUAGAUACCCUGGUAGUCCACACAGUAAACGAUAAUCACUAGGUGUUGGGUUCUUAAGAGGAUUCAGUGCCGGAGGUAACGCGAUAAGUGAUUCGCCUGGGGAGUACGAUCGCAAGGUUGAAACUCAAAGGAAUUGACGGGGGCCCGCACAAGCGGUGGAGCAUGUGGUUUAAUUCGACGCAACGCGAAGAACCUUACCCGGUCUUGACAUCUGCAGAAUUCUUCAGAGAUGGAGGAGUGCCGGUUUUACCGGAGCUGCAAGACAGGUGCUGCAUGGCUGUCGUCAGCUCGUGUCGUGAGAUGUUGGGUUAAGUCCCGCAACGAGCGCAACCCCUGCUUUCAGUUACCAUCAUUAAGUUGGGGACUCUGGGAGGACCGCUGCGGUAACAACGCAGAGGAAGAUGGGGACGACGUCAAGUCAUCAUGGUCCUUAUGACCGGGGCUACACACGUGCUACAAUGGUAGUUACAGAGGGAUGCGAAGCAGUGAUGUGGAGCGAAUCUCAGAAAAGCUACCACAGUUCGGAUUGAGGUCUGCAACUCGACCUCAUGAAGCAGGAAUCGCUAGUAAUCGCGCAACAUCAUGGCGCGGUGAAUACGUUCCCGGGCC
rnacentral:rRNA from 1 species